rnacentral:rRNA from 1 species
GGAUUGACGGUACCUUCCAAGAAAGCACCGGCUAACUCCGUGCCAGCAGCCGCGGUAAUACGGAGGGUGCAAGCGUUGCUCGGAAUUACUGGGCGUAAAGCGUACGCAGGCGGUCUGAUAAGUCGGGUGUGAAAGCCCCGGGCUCAACCCGGGAACUGCAUUCGAAACUGCCAGACUUGAGUUUGGGAGAGGGGAAGUGGAAUUCCUGGUGUAGAGGUGAAAUUCGUUGAUAUCAGGAGGAACACCGGCGGCGAAAAGCGGCUUCCUGGCCCGAUACUGACGCUCAUGUACGAAAGCGUGGGGAGCAAACAGGAUUAGAUACCCUGGUAGUCCACGCCGUAAACGAUGAGUGCUAGAUGUUGGAGGUAUUCACCCCUUCAGUGUCGAAGCUAACGCAUUAAGCACUCCGCCUGGGGAGUACGGCCGCAAGGUUAAAACUCAAAGGAAUUGACGGGGG